rnacentral:rRNA from 1 species
UUUAAAUUGAGAGUUUGAUCCUGGCUCAGGACGAACGCUGGCGGCGUGCCUAACACAUGCAAGUCGAGCGAUGAAACCCUUCGGGGUGGAUUAGCGGCGGACGGGUGAGUAACACGUGGGUAACCUGCCUCAAAGAGGGGAAUAGCCUCCCGAAAGGGAGAUUAAUACCGCAUAAUAUGUUAAGGCCACAUGACCUUUACAUCAAAGGAUUUUUCUUUUAGAGAAUUCCACUUUGAGAUGGACCCGCGGCGCAUUAGCUAGUUGGUGAGGUAACGGCCCACCAAGGCAACGAUGCGUAGCCGACCUGAGAGGGUGAUCGGCCACAUUGGAACUGAGACACGGUCCAGACUCCUACGGGAGGCAGCAGUGGGGAAUAUUGCGCAAUGGGGGAAACCCUGACGCAGCAACGCCGCGUGAAUGAUGAAGGCCUUCGGGUU